GCGCGCUCGCGCCGCCCCAGCGCCCGCCACUAAGGGGGCCUGCGGGAGGGGCGCCGCGACCUCGGCGCCCCCUGGCUGCCCGGCGAGGCCCCUCCGUAGCUUCAGUGCUGGCCAGGGACGGAUUAGGAAGCCGGGGCUCAGAGACCAGGCUGGAGGGUCAAGGUCACUCAGCGGGCGCGGGGAGGAUCCCAGUAGAAGAGACCGGGGCCUGGAGUGACCGUAGGCCGGCGCGCGUCGUCUGGAGAAACUGAAGUCAGCACGGCUGGUCACUCCUGCCAUGCCCAGGUUAUCUUCCGGUGGUUUGGCCCAGGGCAAGCCCAGAGGGAGCCUGGAGCUGUGAUGCCCUGUACGUGACCACAAGGGACUAACGAUGAGGACAGUGAACCCUCAUCUUUUGGGCCCAGCUCUCAUGUCGCCGCCUCCAGGAAGGAGUCUCUAAUCUCAUGCUGCUCAGCCGCCUGGCUGGGCCCCUGCAGGCCCCCAGCACCCCUGCUCAAUCUGCUUUGCAGAGAACUGGGAAAAGAAGAAAAUACCGCGUGAGACACGCUUCUCCUCCUGCCUGGUCCCUGAAUGGUUCAGCCCCAGGGCUGGGGCCAGCUAUAUAACUCCAGAACAAAAACGUGGGAUACACUGUUCAAGAAGCAGGAAAAAUGUGUCCUUAAAAGUACUGAAACAUAAAACGUUUUCCUUCUGUGGUCUCUCUUUUGACUUCUCAAGGUGUUUUGUUUUUUGAUUUGCGAUUUGAUGUCAU